rnacentral:rRNA from 1 species
GACGAACGCUGGCGGCGUGCUUAACACAUGCAAGUCGAACGGAAAGGCCCUGCUUUUGUGGGGUGCUCGAGUGGCGAACGGGUGAGUAACACGUGAGUAACCUGCCCUUGACUUUGGGAUAACUUCAGGAAACUGGGGCUAAUACCGGAUAGGAGCUCCUGCUGCAUGGUGGGGGUUGGAAAGUUUCGGCGGUUGGGGAUGGACUCGCGGCGUAUCAGCUUGUUGGUGGGGUAGUGGCUUACCAAGGCUUUGACGGGUAGCCGGCCUGGGAGGGUGACCGGCCACAUUGGGACUGAGAUACGGCCCAGACUCCUACGGGAGGCAGCAGUGGGGAAUAUUGCACAAUGGGCGGAAGCCUGAUGCAGCAACGCCGCGUGCGGGAUGACGGCCUUCGGGUUGUAAACCGCUUUCGCCUGUGACGAAGCGUGAGUGACGGUAAUGGGUAAAGAAGCACCGGCUAACUACGUG